UAAAGGGGUGCUUUGUGUUUUAAUAUAAAUAAAGAGUCCCAAAAAUCUAACAAGAGGGGAUACUCAUUUUACACCAUCAGAUUUUGAGAGAGGGGUGUAACCCUAAUUUUGUUCUUCUCUCGUUCUCUCUUUUACAGACACCAGCCGCCCCCUCCCAAGCUCUCAUCUCUCUCAUUUCUCCAAUAAUGGUUGCCGCCCAGCCCCUCUAUAUUCCCUCUCUCUAAAAGUUUGAUGCCGCCGCCGCUUUCCGGCGAGCUUGGCUGGCCGGCAAACAACUAGUGCAAACCCCAUCGCCGACCCUACUAUUCAUGUCACCUCCUCUCUCCGUCUCUGUCUCUUCAUGCGUAUAACACACAGAUCUAGAGAAAAUAUACUCGUCGGAGGAAUGAAACUCCACUGAAAGUGGCGGAUCUGGUGUUUGGCCGGAGUCUUAGCCGGAAAAUUGGGUCUGGCAGCCUAUACACGUCCCGGUAGUUGCUCACUGCCUCUUUGACGAAGAUUCAUCUCAUCCGUUGCGUCAACACUAGUGACUUAGCUAUUGUUAUUCAUCGUCGAGUACUUUUGACAUUCUACGGGUGGUUCAGGUAUCAAUACUUUGUUGUGUUACUUUAAUGCAUAUUCAUUUCAUUAGGUGUCAUUCUAAUGCCUUUGUUGUCAGAACUUUUUCAGUUAUGUUAAGCUUGAAUUGACCAUUUAGUUCGCUUGGUCAUUACUAACCUAAAUGCUUGAUUUUGUCUCUAUUCAUUUGGUUAUUCCAUCAAUAAGCAACAUUAAUUACGUAAGAAGAGUUUGCUGGAAAUCUAUUAUUGGCCAUCCAUGUUGGACACUAUCAUGGCUUUUUCUUAGAUUAUUGUUGUUUUCACAUUGCUGUGUGAUUUCAAUGUUAUUGAGCAGAUGCUACAUUGAUUAUGCUUUGGCCGAUGAGAAAAUAACCCCGAGUUAUUGAGGCCACGACCCUUGGAAUAACCCUCGGACCGGGUCCGAAAUAACGAGGUGAUGAUGAUAAAUAUCAGAAAAAGAAAAAAAACGAGAACACAAACCAACAACCUAUAGUUGGCGAUACGGUUGGCCACCGGAGUUUCUACCGAGGCGGUUCCCGUUUUCAUGUCUUGGUGUAUAUCGGAUAUUACAUGUAUCUGAUCCUCCUAUAUUAUCUUUUAAACUAUUUUCCAAAACUAUUUUCAAAAACAAUUUCUCACAAAACAUUUUUUCAAAUAAAAGCAUUUCAGAAAAUAAAUUAGUCUAUUAUUUACCUAAUAUUUUACUAAUAAUUUUACUUCUCUUGUCUUGCGAGGUACUAUCAUACGGAGUUACUCUCGGAAGAUGACACUCGAAGAUGAAAAGACAAAUCCCAUCAAAGUUUCCCGCUUCGUACUUCUCGUUCUCGGAUGUAUUAAAAAAUACAAGUAUUGUAAUGACCCGACCGAUCGUUCUGAGAAUUAAUGUCCCGAUCGGCGGCAUAAGGUCCUGAGCAGCUUCGUAUUAUGUAUAUUGUCUUGCGUGCGUGGUUGAAUUCAGUUACAGGAUGAUUCAGAGUGAAUUAGAACACUUAGUCCCUAAAAGUGGAAUCUUAAGUCUUAGGAUUUUGACAAUAAUUGGAACUGUGUGAAGACAACUCCGGAAUGGAGUUUCACCGGCUCUGUUAUCUCCGUUGGGAGAUUUUAGACUUAGGUGUGUGUCCGGAUUGUGUUUUGGAGGUCUGUAGCUCAUUUAGGCUUGAAAAGGCGAAAGUCGAAUUUUUGGAGAUUUUGACCGGUAGUGGACUUUUUGAUAUCGGGGUCGGAAUCCGAUUUCAGAAGUUGGNNNNNNNNNNNNNNNNNNAGAAAUUUUAAAGUUUCAAUUUCAUUAAGUUUGAAUCGGAGGGUGAUUCGGGUUUUUAGCGUUGUUUGAUAUGAUUUGAGGGCUCAACUAAGUUCAUAUGGUGUUUUAGGACUUGUUGGUAUGUUUGUUUGAAGUCCCGAGGGCCUCGGGUGAGUUUCAGAUGCUUAACAGAUCCAAAUUUGGACUUGUGUAGUUGUUGAAGCUUUCAAGCUUCUGGUGUAAUCGCACCUGCGGUGGGGUGGCCGCAGGUGCGGACUCUCACGUGCUGAAGGGAUCUUGCAGAUGCGGCCCUGGUCUGGUUAACCGGUGGUCACAAGUGCGACAAAAGAUGCGCAGAAGCGGAGCCGCUCCUGCGGAGAAGGGAUCGUAGAAGCGGAAAGCGAGCUGAGUGAGGAUUCCGUAGAAGCGGACAAAAAUUCGCAGGCGCGCACUCGUAGGUGCGACCUUAUGCUCGCAUAAGUGGACCACAGGACGUAAGUCAUUUCCGCACCUGCGAUGGAAUUUCCGCAGGUGCGACUAGAAGCCUGCAGAAGCAAAAAUCGCUGGGCAGAAAAGGGCUAAGUGCGAUGGUUGAUUUCAUUCUCCAAUUUUGGACCUAGAGAGCUCGGAUUGAGGCAAAAUUUCGAGGGAUUUUCAGACGAAGCUUGUGGGUAACGAUUCUUAACUCUUUUAUGGGUAUAUCUCAUUAAUCUAUAGUUGAAUUCAUCAUUUAAUUAAGGAAUUUGGUUGAGCAAUUUGGGAAAAGAGAUGGAAAGUUCUUCAAAUAAAUUUUUGAGUUUUGAUUCGGAUUUUGAUAUCGGAUUUGGAUAAUUUUGGUACGAGUGAACUCAUGGUUGAUUGUGUAUUAGUAUUUUGUGAUUUUUAUCCGUUUCCAAGACAUGGGCCCGAGUCGACCUUUUGGGCCGAAUUUUCGAUUCUUUACUAAAGUCGUAGAUUUAUUAUUUAAAUUAGUUUCUCGUAAUUUUAUUCAUGAUAUGUAAUUGUGUUUGGCUAGAUUUGGGCCAUUCAGAGUCGGAUAAUCGAGGAAAGGGCAUUCUUACUGAUUGAUUGAGCUUGGUUCGAGGUAAGUAUCUUGCCUAACUUCAUGUGGGGAACUACCCCUUAGGAUUUGAGUCUUCUAUGCUAAUUGUAGUCUGUGUACGCGAGGUGACAAGAACAUGAUCAAACUUAUUUAUGGAAAGUUGGCCUUUUAGGGUUCUUAGGUCCUUGUAUUCACUGAUUAUGCAGUUGUUAUGUUAUGAAUACGUCUCUUAAUUACUAGUUUUACCUCUACCUGCUUUAAUUAGAAUUAAUUGCUUCAUGAUUCGCCCUUGAUGCAUAUUUGACUCAUCUGUGCCUUAACUGAAAUUGUUAUCUCUUCUAUUGCCAUGCUAUCUUUCCCCUAACUGCUUAUCUUUAUUUGAAGUUAUAAUUAUCUCUUUUGUAAUUGUUCAUCCUUAAUUGAGGCUAUGAUUAUCUUUCUGCUGCUUAUCCCUAAUUGAAUUUGUUGUAUCUCUUUCUUAAUUUGCCAACCUUAAAACGAAGUUAGAUAUCUUAUAUUUUAGUUGACUUGUCCUUAUUUAGAAUUAUUCGCCUUGUGUUAGCUCCCUCGUUAUUGAAUUGUACAUUGUGUACCGUUGUUGCAUAAUAUGUCCUUUCUUGUUUAGCUGUUCUUAUUAUGACUACCAUUCUCCAUUUUGGCCCCUCCUUGUGAAUUAAUUCCUCUGUUCCUUUGAGUUCUAGAAUUUCUGAGUUGAUUUAUUUGCCGUACUCUUGUAUUAGUGUUAUUGUUGAUGUUGUACUUGUUGUUUUUGCAUAUUUACUUUGGGACUACGAGGCGGUACCUCGGAAGAUCCUCCUUUCUUACAUAUUUACUUUGGGACUACGAGGCGGUACCUCGGGAGAUCCCCCUGUCUUGCAUAUUUACUUUUGGGACUACGAGGCGGUACCUCAGGAGAUCCCCUGUUGAGCAUUUACUUUUGGGACUACGAGACGAUAUCUCGGGAGUGCCUUUUGUUGACAUCUCUUUGUUAUGGGGUUGCACGAGGUUUCUGCAGUGCUAUUAUUAUUAUUGAUAUUUGCACAUGCGGCGUGACAAGGUGGGAUACAUAUAUGUGAGUUGCACAUGUGGCGAGACAAGGUGGGAACAUUAUUAUGCACGUGUGGCGAGAUAAGGCGGGCAUUUACUUUACCAUUGCACACGUGGCGAGACAAUGUGGGCUAUGUCAAGGAUUGAUUUGUGAUGGCAUGGAGGAAUUCUUGUUGUUGAUAUUUGUGUAGUGGUACACUUAUCUGUGUGAGCUUUAUCUUGUGAAAGUUGUGAGAAAAUAUUCUACGUGAUGUCCGUCCUAUUCCUUAUGCUCACUAGAUGGUAUGAACUAUGUUAGGACAUUUGCACAAACAUGCACGUAGUUAAGCACUCUUAUCGGAUAAGAGGUUUCCUUGAUAUUGUUGAGUAUAGAUGCAUACCGUUGCUUACUUGCCUUCUAUGUGAUAAUGGCACUAUUUGGCACGCGAGUCGUCAGUGCGGUUAUGUGGUGUAAUGAGGGCACAUGAUGCCAAGUGUUAGGGUUUAGGUAUUGAGGCACGUGAGUUGUAAUUUGUCCGAGGUUCAGUACCUCGUGGAGUUUAUUGACAAAAACCCAGUGUGGAAGCUGUCGUAUUGUUGAGUUGCUACUUGUCCUUUCUUUAUCUGUGAUUAUCGGACUUAGGCUGUGUUUCCGUUCAUUCUUCUAUGUCAUUAUUAUGGUGUUCCGCUGAUAGUGUUUUUUUUCCUUCCUUAUUGCAAUUACCGUAUUAAUUGCCACUUCGCGUAGUCUUUAUGUAGAUAUCAUACUCUGUUGUUUCUAUACUUAUACUUGUUCAGGUUAUUUAGUCCAGUAGGUGUCUUGACUGUACCUCGUCACUACUCCACUGAGGUUAGUCUUUAUACUUACUGGGAACCGCCGUGGUGUACUCGUACUAUACUUCCGCACAUUUUUGUGCAGAUCCAGGCAUUUUCAAAGUCAGUUGAUCAUUAGCUAGUUGUGCGGAUUGUUGCUGUGAAGACUCAAGAUAAACCUGAUGCUGCGUUCGCAGGCUUCGGAGUCACCUUAUGAUUUGUAUUCACACUGUUUACUUUAUUUAAAACAUUUGUAUUUAGAAAAUUGUAACAAACUCUGUAGAGCUUAUGACUUGUACUACCGGUUUUGGAAAUUAUAAAUUUUAUAGAGAUUUCUAUUUCAAAAGUUG
rnacentral:lncRNA from 1 species